ensembl:lncRNA
UCCUGACCUCAACCCCAUCGAACACCUUUGGGAUGAAUUGGAAAUGCCAACUGUGAGCCAGGCCUAAUCGCCAAACAUCAGUGUUCGACCUCACUAAUGCUCUUGUGACUGAAUGGAAGCAAGUCCCCACAGCAAUGUUCCAACAUCUAGUGGAAAGCCUUCCCAGAAGAGUGGAGGCUGUUAUAGCAGCAAUGUUCCAACAUCUAGUGGAAAGCCUUCCCAGAAGAGUGGAGGCUGUUAUAGCAGCAAUGUUCCAACAUCUAGUGGAAAGCCUUCCCAGAAGAGCGGAGGCUGUUAUAGCAGCAAUGUUCCUACAUCUAGUGGAAAGCCUUCCCAGAAGAGUGGAGGCUGUUAUAGCAGCAAUGUUCCUACAUCUAGUGGAAAGCCUUCCCAGAAGAGUGGAGGCUGUUAUAGCAGCAAUGUUCCAACAUCUAGUGGAAAGCCUUCCCAGAAGAGUGGAGGCUGUUAUAGCAGCAAUGUUCCUACAUCUAGUGGAAAGCCUUCCCAGAAGAGUGGAGGCUGUUAUAGCAGCAAUGUUCCAACAUCUAGUGGAAAGCCUUCCCAGAAGAGUGGAGGCUGUUAUAGCAGCAAAGGGGGGCGACCAACUCCAUAUUAAUGACCAUGAUUUUGGAAUGAGAUGUUGGAUACGUAUAUAUAUAUAUUCUCAUAUUCACUGCUUUUUAUUUAUGAUUAUCCCAGUGGGUGUGUGUCUGUGAUUGGUUGUCGUUCCAGGUGGGUGUGUUGGUGAUUGGUUGUCGUUCAAGGUGUGUGUUGGUGAUUGGUUGUCGUUCAAGGUGUGUGUGUUGGUGAUUGGUUGUCGUUCAAGGUGUGUGUUGGUGAUUGGUUGUCGUUCAAGGUGUGUGUGUCUGUGAUUGGUUGUCGUUCAAGGUGUGUGUCUGUGAUUGGUUGUCGUUCAAUGUGGGUGUGUUGGUGAUUGGUUGUCGUUCAAUGUGUGUGUCUGUGAUUGGUUGUCGUUCAAUGUGUGUGUCUGUGAUUGGUUGUCGUUCAAUGUGUGUGUCUGUGAUUGGUUGUCGUUCAAUGUGUGUGUCUGUGAUUGGUUCUGUGUUUUCUCCAGCGUCUGUUCCCUCAGUGAGUGUGUCAGGGUCAGGGACCGAGCACAGUGACAGCAACGGUCAUGGAGCCCCCAACCUUGACCCCAGCUCUAACCCCAGCACAGCACUGCUGCCCCCUGCUGACGAGAGGCUGUUUGAAGAGGUGAUAGUUCUCCCUGCAGACUCCAGACUUCCUCCUCCUGGUGAUGAAGAGGAGGAAGAAGAGCAGCUUGUCAUUGCGUUCCAGGAGAACGGUAUCGUCAUGCCUCUGAUUGGAGGAGUGGUCGACACCCCGAUACAACACACAGCAGAUGUUGUCUGAUGACUGGAAAAGACAUGGUGGAGGGGGAGAUGGUGGAGGACACAUGGUGGAGGACACGUGGUGGAGGACACAUGGUGGAGGACACAUGGUGGAGGACACGUGGUGGAGGACACAUGGUGGAGGACACAUGGUGGAGGACACAUGGUGGAGGACACAUGGUGGAGGACACAUGGUGGAGGACACAUGGUGGAGGGGGAGAUGGUGGAGGACACAUGGUGGAGG